CCUGGUUGAUCCUGCUAGUAGUCAUAUGAUUGUCUCAAAGAUUAAGCCAUGCAUGUCUAAGUAUGAACUAAUUUAGAUUGUGAAACUGCGGAUGGCUCAUUAAAUCAGUUAUAGUUUUUUUGAUGGUACCAUACUACUAAGAUAACCGUAGUAAUUCUAGAGCUAAUAUGUGCAUCAAGUCCCAAUUCUUUGGAAGGGAUGCAUUUUUUAGAUAAAAGGUUAGUGCAGGCUUGCCUACCUCUCUAGUGAAUCAUGAUAACUCGACGGAUCACACAUCCCUUGUGCUGGCGAUGCUUCAUUCAAAUUUAUACCCUAUCAACUUUCGAUGGUAGGAUAGAGGCCUAACAUGGUGGUGAUGGGUGAUGGAGAAUUAUGGUUCGAUUCCAGAGAGGGAUCCUGAGAAAUGGCUACCAUAUCCAAGGAAGGCAGUAGGUGCGCAAAUUACCUAAUCCUAACAUGGGGAGGUAGUGACAAUAGACAACAAUACUAGGCUCAUCGAGUUGGGUAAUUGGAAUGAAUACAAUAUAAAUCCGUUAACGAGGAUUCAUUGGAGGGCAAGGCUGGUGUCAGCAUCCGUAGUAAUUCCAGCUCCAAUAGUGUAUAUUUAAUUUGUUGUAGUUAAAAAUCUCGUUGUUGGAUCUUGGGUCAUAAAGGUCAGUCCGCCUACUCGGUGUGCACCUACCCUUCCGUCCCUUUUGUCAGCAGCGUGCUCCUAGCAUUAAUUGGUUGGGUCAUGGCUCUGGCACUGUUAAUUUGAAAAAAUUAAAGUGCUCAAAGCAAGCUUAUGCUCUGAAUACAUUAGCAUGGAACAAUGUGAUAGGAGUCUCGUCCUAUUGUGUUGGCCUUCGAGACCGGAGUAAUGAUUAAUAGGGACUGUCGGGGGCAUUUGUAUUUCAUUGUCAGAGGUGAAAUUCUUGGAUUUUUGAAAGACAAACCACUGCGAAAUCAUUUGCCAAGGAUGUUUUCAUUAAUCAAGAAUGAAAUUUGGGGGCUCAAAGAUGAUCAGAUACUAUCCUAGUCUCAACCAUAAAUAAUGCUGACCAAGGAUCGAUGGAUGGUUCUCUAAGGACUCCGCCAACACCUUCUGAGAAAUCAGAGUGUUUGGGUUCCGGGGGAGUAUGGUCACAAGGAUGAAACUUAAAGGAAUUGAUAGAAGGGCACCACCAGGAGUGGAGCCUAUGACUUAAUUUGACUCAACAUACUAGGUCUAGACAUAGUAAGGAUUGAUAGAUUGAGAGCUCUUUCUUGAUUCUAUGGGUGGUGGUGCAUGGUUGUUCUUAGUUGGUGGAGCGAUUUGUCUGGUUAAUUCCAAUAACGAACGAGACCUCAGCCUGCUAACUAGAUACACAGAGAUUCCCCUUCACAACCAGCUUCUUAGAGGGACUAUGGCUGUUUAUGCCAUUGUGACACAAGAAAGUGUUCCCUCUGCGGACAAAGGCAACCCCUCUAGCCCUAGAGUGGGUCUAGUCACAACAAAGACAAAUCAACAAUUGAUUUCCUUAAAAUGUCAUUGUUGGAGGCCUACCUCAAACCGGGGCUCGAUGAAGUUUCGUUGCGAUGCUCCAGCUUCCAUUUCCUUCUCCUUAAUGAGAAAUUAACCUGAAACAACACAAAGAAAAAUAAUGAAGAACGUAACUGAGAAACAACAAUGACCUAUUUACUCACAAAGUCAAGAAGUCAUGAGAUAUCAAGUAAAUUACAUACAAGACAUAGGAAAACAUCAUUGAUUGUAUUAAUAAUGAAUCAAGAGUAAGCUUA
rnacentral:rRNA from 1 species